GCUUCCGAGGCGUAAUCGACAAGCGCGUUCGGCUGUUAACCGAAAUAUUGGUGUUUAGAGCCCACCCGGAGGCG